UACGUAGGGUGCGAGCGUUGUCCGGAAUUAUUGGGCGUAAAGAGCUUGUAGGUGGUUUGUCGCGUCUGCUGUGAAAAUCCGAGGCUCAACCUCGGACUUGCAGUGGGUACGGGCGAGACUAGAGUGUGGUAGGGGAGACGUGGAAGUUCCGUCGGUGUAGCGGUGAAAUGCGCAGAUAUCAGGAGGAACACCGGUGGCGAAGGCGGGUCUCUGGGCCGAUACUGA
rnacentral:rRNA from 1 species